rnacentral:rRNA from 1 species
UACAGAGGGUGCAAGCGUUAAUCGGAAUUACUGGGCGUAAAGCGUGCGCAGGCGGUUUUGUAAGUCUGUCGUGAAAUCCCCGGGCUCAACCUGGGAAUUGCGAUGGAGACUGCAAGGCUAGAAUCUGGCAGAGGGGGGUAGAAUUCCACGUGUGAGCAGUGAAAUGCGUAGAGAUGUGGAGGAACACCGAUGGCGAAGGCAGCCCCCUGGGUCAAGAUUGACGCUCAUGCACGAAAGCGUGGGGAGCAAACAGG